UAGUAACGGCGAGUGAAGCGGCAACAGCUCAAAUUUGAAAUCUGGCCCUCGGGUCCGAGUUGUAAUUUGUAGAGGAUGCUUUUGGUGCGGUACCUUCCGAGUUCCCUGGAACGGGACGCCAUAGAGGGUGAGAGCCCCGUCUGGUUGGAUACCAAUCCUCUGUAAAGCUCCUUCGACGAGUCGAGUAGUUUGGGAAUGCUGCUCUAAAUGGGAGGUAUAUGUCUUCUAAAGCUAAAUACCGGCCAGAGACCGAUAGCGCACAAGUAGAGUGAUCGAAAGAUGAAAAGCACUUUGAAAAGAGGGUUAAACAGUACGUGAAAUUGUUGAAAGGGAAGCGCUUGUGACCAGACUUGGGCAUGGUUAAUCAUCCAGCGUUCUCGCUGGUGCACUUGGCCUGCCCAGGCCAGCAUCAGUUCGGUGCGGGGGAUAAAGGCUUCGGGAAUGUGGCUCCUCCGGGAGUGUUAUAGCCCGUUGCGCAAUACCCUGCGCUGGACUGAGGUUCGCGCAUCUGCAUGGAUGCUGGCGUAAUGGUCAUCAGCGACCCGUCUUGAAACACGGACCAAGGAGUCGUCCUCGUAUGCGAGUGUUCGGGUGUUAAACCCCUACGCGUAAUGAAAGUGAACGCAGGUGAGAGCUUCGGCGCAUCAUCGACCGAUCCUGAUGUUCUCGGAUGGAUUUGAGUAAGAGCAUACGGGGCCGGACCCGAAAGAAGGUGAACUAUGCCUGUAUAGGGUGAAGCCAGAGGAAACUCUGGUGGAGGCUCGCAGCGGUUCUGACGUGCAAAUCGAUCGUCAAAUAUGGGCAUGGGGGCGAAAGACUAAUCGAACCUUCUAGUAGCU
rnacentral:rRNA from 1 species